rnacentral:rRNA from 8 species
AAAUUGAAGAGUUUGAUCAUGGCUCAGAUUGAACGCUGGCGGCAGGCCUAACACAUGCAAGUCGAACGGUAACAGGAAGCAGCUUGCUGCUUUGCUGACGAGUGGCGGACGGGUGAGUAAUGUCUGGGAAACUGCCUGAUGGAGGGGGAUAACUACUGGAAACGGUGGCUAAUACCGCAUAACGUCGCAAGACCAAAGAGGGGGACCUUCGGGCCUC